rnacentral:scRNA from 1 species
AUUUAAGUUACAGCAAAUCUUGCAGAAAACCUCCCGUCAGCUU